GGGCUUUCAAGAGGAAAUGGAUCUAAAGCUGGCCCACAUAAUGGAGAGUACCUAAACACAUGAAGUUGGAAGUAGGACAGGACGGAAAGGGAGACCUUAUAUACCAAGACAACUCAUAGGUACUAGCAAUUGUUUCAGAUCACAAGCAUGGACAUAAAUUAUUUAUAGCUCUAUCCAUCAAGAGGUAUAGUCUAUUUCCUCAUCUCUUGGAUUUAGAUUGGUCUUGUGACCUGCUUCAACCCAGAGAAUGUUGUAGACAUGACACUGUAAAAUCUAGAGCCUUGGAGAACUGAGGCACCAUAAUCAACAGCAUGGACUACUGCUCAUGAGGGAGGCCAUCUUGGAUUCUCUAGCCCAGGAUUCCUCUAGAUUUGACACAAGUUUCGAUGAGACAUUUUCAAGAAUGGCAUCUCUCUCGAUAAGAGUUGAAGAUAAGUAUGGGACCAAGCCCACAUCAAUCAGAGAAGAUAGAUGACAAAGGGAAUUCUAGUAGAAAUCCAAUUGUAGCCUACUAGAACUUUCCUGGUUCUUACAGCUUUUCACUCAACUCUGUGAUCUACCACAGUAUUUUUCAAAAUAUGUUCUAGUUGAAAUAAA